UACGAAGGGGACUAGCGUUGUUCGGAAUUACUGGGCGUAAAGCGCACGUAGGCGGAUUUGUAAGUCAGGGGUGAAAUCCCGGGGCUCAACCUCGGAACUGCCUUUGAUACUGCAAAUCUCGAGUCCGAUAGAGGUGGGUGGAAUUCCUAGUGUAGAGGUGAAAUUCGUAGAUAUUAGGAAGAACACCGGUGGCGAAGGCGGCCCACUGGAUCGGUACUGACGCUGAGGCACGAAAGCUAGGGGAGCAAACAGG
rnacentral:rRNA from 1 species